rnacentral:rRNA from 1 species
CACGUAGGGGGCGAGCGUUGUCCGGAAUCAUUGGGCGUAAAGAGCUCGUAGGCGGCUCAGUAAGUCGGGUGUGAAACCCCCAGGCUCAACCUGGGGACGCCACCCGAUACUGCUGUGGCUAGAGUCCAGUAGGGGAGUGUGGAAUUCCCGGUGUAGCGGUGAAAUGCGCAGAUAUCGGGGAGGAACACCAGCGGCGAAGGCGGCACUCUGGGCUGGAACUGACGCUGAGGAGCGAAAGCGUGGUAGCAACAGG